AACGAACGCUGGCGGCAUGCCUAACACAUGCAAGUCGAACGAGACCUUCGGGUCUAGUGGCGCACGGGUGCGUAACGCGUGGGAACCUGCCCUUAGGUUCGGAAUAACUCCCCGAAAGGGGUGCUAAUACCGGAUAAUGUCUUCGGACCAAAGAUUUAGCGCCUUUGGAUGGGCCCGCGUUGGAUUAGCUAGUUGGUAGUGUAAAAGCCUACCAAGGCGACGAUCCAUAGCUGGUCUGAGAGGAUGAUCAGCCACACUGGGACUGAGACACGGCCCAGACUCCUACGGGAGGCAGCAGUGGGGAAUAUUGGACAAUGGGCGAAAGCCUGAUCCAGCAAUGCCGCGUGAGUGAGGAAGGCCUUAGGGUUGUAAAGCUCUUUUACCCGGGAUGAUAAUGACGGUACCGGGAGAAUAAGCUCCGGCUAACUCCGUG
rnacentral:rRNA from 1 species